GAACGCUGGCGGCGUGCUUAACACAUGCAAGUCGAACGGAAAGGCCCUGCUUUUGUGGGGUGCUUGAGUGGCGAACGGGUGAGUAACACGUGAGUAACCUGCCCUUGACUUUGGGAUAACUUCAGGAAACUGGGGCUAAUACCGGAUAGGAGCUCCUGCUGCAUGGUGGGGGUUGGAAAGUUUCGGCGGUUGGGGAUGGACUCGCGGCUUAUCAGCUUGUUGGUGGGGUAGUGGCUUACCAAGGCUUUGACGGGUAGCCGGCCUGAGAGGGUGACCGGCCACAUUGGGACUGAGAUACGGCCCAGACUCCUACGGGAGGCAGCAGUGGGGAAUAUUGCACAAUGGGCGGAAGCCUGAUGCAGCAACGCCGCGUGCGGGAUGACGGCCUUCGGGUUGUAAACCGCUUUCGCCUGUGACGAAGCGUGAGUGACGGUAAUGGGUAAAGAAGCACCGGCUAACUACGUG
rnacentral:rRNA from 1 species